CAGGAAGGGCCCUCUUUUCUGCUCCUGCUCCAGCAGCACAAUGUGAUCCACCAGCAUGGAGGAAAGCCAAUAAGGCGUCCAAUAAGAUAAGUCUUAUAAAAUAUAUAGUUUAUGAUAGUUAAGACUGAGCUAACAGAUGAGAAUCCUAGUCAUUGGCCAAGCAGCUUUGAACCUAAUACAAGUUUCUGUGUAUUCAUUUGGGCCUAACUCGGGCGGGCUGCUGGCGUAAAGCUCACAUGUGGCGGUGGGGUUCAGGCAGCUUUUGGCGGGAAGAUUUAUCAUAACAGGGGAUUGUUUGUUUGGGUGUUUUUUUUUUUUUUUCAAGACAGAGUCUCUCUGUGUAGACCUGGUUGUACUGAUCUCAAAUUCAGCGAUCCACCUGCCUCUGCCUCCUGACUACACUACUACACGGGGCUGAGGUUGGCUUUUUAACAUCAGUUCUAUGUUUGUGAGUCAGAGUCUUACCAGGACCAAUGGUUACUGCCUACCAAAUGCCAGCAAUAUUUGCUACCUUUCCUAGCAACCACAACUGGCUCGACAUAUUACCAAAUUUCUAUGGAGCAAGAGUUGAGAUUGUCAGGUUGGGGAGUGAAACUGCCCCAGUUAAACACUACUGUCUGGAUGUAUUAAUCUUUGCAUAUAAAAUUCUCUGCUCCUUUCAAGGACAAACAGCUGCUCUGAUUUCUUUUAAGUUGAACUUCAAAACCCCAGGCUGAGUGAGUUCUUGGAAUGAUUUCAAAGUCUGCCUGGCUGCUAUAGUAAUAAUAAUUUACUAGCUACAUGGGGUGAGGGAUCCUGCUUGUGAUCUGAAAGACAGAAUUCAGAGCCAUCAUCUUGGGUUCUAUUACUACCCUACAAUUAACUCCUUAUGUCUCAGUUUCACUGUUUUUCAAGUGAGAGCAAUUGUACCUCACCCACAUUGUAAACAUUUGCCUGUGAGGACAGGAUGAACAAAGCUAGGAUAGUCUUCUAAUAGACACCAAACAAAACACUAACAAGUCUCCACUGUCUGGGGAAAAAAAUAAACAGAAAAACAACAAAACAAAAACACCCAUAGCACAUUAACAGAGGUGUCAGGAUGAUUCAGUGGGGAAAGGUGCUUGCUGCCAAGCCUGAUGACUUGAGAUGGACACCUGUCCAUCACCAUGGAAGGAGGGACUUCUCAAAACUGUCCUACCACUGCACAUGCGCAUCACAUCAUAAAAUUAAUGACAACUUUGAAGUGCUCCAUGUGCUUUCUUAUUUUUAACUGCAGAUGAUUGUCUUACUAGUGUAGGAGUGGGAUUAUUUCCCACUAAAAAACACCAGCAAAUUGCUAAUGCUGAACAGAGAACAAAUGUGAUCUGACAUCUAGGAUGCUUCCUGUAGCCACAGGCUUCAGACAUUCUGAUGUGCUUCUUAGCCCAUGUGGCUGCAGUGACUUUGGUGGUGUCAACAGAAACAAAUGAGAGCCUUGUCAGAGGCUCCAUGGAUGAAAAGCCUAGGACAGAUGAAUCCAAACUAUCUGUGAGUGUGGAUGCUAUAAUAAUUGAAUUAGCUUUAGGAUUUUAGGACCCCAUGGAAUGAGAGGCCAAGACACGAGAGAAGAGUGAAAAGGGAAACUGCAAGAUUGCCAAGAUAAAAUGUCAGUCACUUGAAAAUCUUCCAGGGCAUGAGAAAGUCAAAAUGUUGCUAAUUUUUCUCUUCCUACUUCCUGUACUAAAUGACUUACAUCAAAACUCAGUUUAUUAAGAUCAUCAAAGUCAAGUGAGCCACAGGUUCUAUGAAUAAUUUUAUUGGUAGAAAUAAAGAUUAAUUUCUAGAUUUUCUUUCUUUCUUAAGUAGUAGCUGGAAAGAUGGCUCAGCAAAUAAAAGCACUUGUUGUGAGUUUGAUCCCUGUAACCCACAGUUGACAAAGAAGACAGACUUCCAGAAGCUGUCCUUUGACCUUCGGAUACAUUCCAAAUGAGCACACCAGGACUCAUAUCACACACACACACACACACACACACACACACACACACACACACACACACACACACACCAUAAAUAUAUGUUAAAAAUAAAAGUAAUAAAUGAAACAAGUAAAUAUUUCAUUCCAAUAUAAUCUGGAUUGUGACAUCUGAUUAAGAACUUUACGUGUUUUAAAGCUUUUUUAACAUCGUUUUGGAAACUGCUUCUCUUUAGUUACAAAGCACAUUCUGUGUGCUACCACUUAACACUUGAGCAUAUGCCUAAUGGAAACUGAUACACAUCCUAAUUUUGAAAUUUCCAAAGAAAUGUUUGUAUGCUCUUAAAUUUGUGGAAUCUCUAAAUAGAAGGGUCAUAAUUACAGUGGUUCUGUGUCUUCUCUCUCAGGAUUGCCAUUUGUGCUCUAUCUGUCUUCAAAUGUACUGAGUGUACUUGGAAAUCCCAAAAGCAGUUGUUAAAAUGCUCUUUCUGUAACUUCCCCAGAACAAGCUUUUCCAGUUACUCUACUCCCCCUUACUCAAAGGCCUCUUCUAGUUGCCAUCCCCCCAAAUUAAAUAUUCUGCAUCUUUGCUAGUGACAAAGGUAGGUUUGGUUUUAUGUUUGUAAUUUGACUUAUCAAUUUAGUUGUGUGUCUGGGUGUGUGUGUGGAGGUCAGAGGACAGCCUGAAGGAUAACUAGGUUCUCUCUUUCCACAUAUGAGUCUGGGAGAUCCAACUCAGGCUAUCAGGCUCAGUGGCAAGUGUUUUCAUUCACUGAACCAUCUCAUCAGUCCUGGGUUUUAAAUAUUUUAAAGUAAAUUAUAGGUAAAAACUGCAUUGUAAAAAGAAACAAAAAAAGAAAAACCAGGUGGUGGUGGCAACAAGGUGGUGGUGGCACAUGCCUUUAAUCCCAGUACUUGGGAGGCAGAGGCAGGCGGAUCUCUGUGAGUUUGAGGAUAGUCUGGUCUACAGAGUGAGAUCCAGGACAGUCAUAGUGGUUACACAGAGAAACCCUGUCUCAAAAAAAAAAAAGAAAGAAAGAAAGAAAAGGAAGAAAAAAAGAAAGAAAAGAAACAAACAACCCUAAAACUAUUGUACAUACUUUAAAGCAAUAAUACAGAAUCUAUGUUUCCCAUUAAAAACAAUUUUAUUAACAAACUCUGGCUGCAAAGAUGGCUAAGCAAGUAAAAGCACUUGCUGCCAAGUCUGAGGACCUGAGUUCAAUCCUUGGGACCCACAUAGUGGAAAAAGAAAACCAACUCCUGCAAGUUGUCUUCUGACCUACAUAUGCCCAUGCUGCUCUGGCCUUUCUCUCUCUCCUGCCCCCUCUCUCUCUUACACACACACACACACACACAAAUAACUAAAACUUUUCUUAAAUGAAUAAACUCAAAUGACCUUUUUGUUAUGUGAGACAUAAGCUUUAAUUCAAUCCCAUUAUUCAUUUCUUCCCAAAUAUAUCAACCAACUAGAAGUAUUAAUUCCAUUAUUCAGUGUGCAUCCCAUCAUACCUUACUAUUUACAACAGAGUCUACAAAUAGCCUGUUAGAACCCUGAGUGUGCAGCAGCACAGCCCUGCCUGGCGACUGUAUGCAGCAACGGCAGCAGUUCAACCUGAUAUGUGUUGGGCUCAGAUUAGAGAGAUCAAGGGGAAUUUGACAGCAAGUUGGUUUCACAUGGGACUGGCUAAUGAUCAGCCCAGUGUCAUUUGGAAAUAAUUUGGGGAAUUAUGACAGAGAUGCUAAUAUACUACGUAACAAUAAGUCUUUAUUUCAUCCGACCAAGCUCUGUCACCACGUGGGUGCUUUCUGCCAGGCUGCCCGAGUUCUGCCCACCGCCACAUUAAGGUCCCAAGUAACACACAUAUUAGGUACAAAUGCUGCUUGGCCAAUGACUAGGAUUUCUCAUUUGCUAGCUCAGUCUUAAUUAUCAAAUCUAUAGAUUUUAUAAGACUUAUCUUAUAAAGGAUGCCUUCCACUGGCACCCUCUCUUGCCAGUGGAUCAUAUUGUGACUCCAGAGCAGAGACCAGAAGGAAGAGAGAAGGGACGACUUCUUUCUUGCCCUUGCUUAUAUAUGAGUCUCCCUGCUAUGAGUCACUUCCUGCCUGGAUCUUUUACUACAUUUCCCAGAAUCCUCCUUGACUUCUAGUCCCACCUAUCUUGCUUCCUCAAAUAAAGGCCAAGUAGUACUUUAUUUAUUAACCAAUAAAAGAGACAUAUGCAGAAAGACGUCCCCCAUCAACACUAUAUUUAUAUGAAGCUGCAAUGCUGUAUCAGGUGGUUCAGGGAUCCAGUAUGGAUCACUUAAAUACAAUUUUGAGGGAAUCUCACAUAUCUGCUUACAAUGAUGGAUUUCUAAAGACAUUCAGUGAUUCUGUCUCCUGAAAAUUAUGAGAUGUUAAGAACUGAAAAACAAACAAACAAACCUUUAGAGAUAGCACACAAUUUUUUUUCACACAAAGGCAAAGAGACCAGUAAAGCUCUUUACAUCACUAGUAAGUGGCAACAUCAGGGCCUGAGCUAAGCCUGUGAGAUGCACUCCAGGGCACCACUCACAUCACAGGAUCAUGUUUAUUAUGAACUCUUCAGGGUAGUCUGGCAAUCUGUAGACACGAGGAAGAGCAGAUACUGCCAUCUCGAGCCGGAAGACAUCUUCCUCUUCAAAGCAUCUCAUACUUUCUAUUGAGAUGCCUCCGAGUGCUUGUGCCCACUCACGUAGCAAAGGGCAACCUGAUCUCCCCCAAAUCUACUGAUUUCAAUGCUAGUCACACCUUUAAAAAAUACCUCACAGCCCUAUCUAUGUGUGCUUGACCAAAUAAAUAGGCACAUGGCCUACCAGACACAAAAUUAGCUAUCAUUAACCCUUCCUCAAUCCACACAGAAAAACAAAGAAUUUAUAUGUCAGAUUUUCAUUUGGGCUCAUUCCAUGCUUUGACACAUGUUGUUAAAGGCUUCAACUCCCACUUAACACUAGAUUUCAUAAGACAUGAAUAUCAUCUCACUCAACAUUUGUUGGAUCAUAAGAAAUUGGAUUUGUAGUUCCUUCUGGUCUGCAAAAUAUGGUUCAUGAGUAUAUCUUGUAUAAUCUUCACAAGUCACUUUAGUAGCACAAAUUUGAGCAGAAACAAGGCUAAGACUGUCACAUUAACAGGUAAUAAUCAAGAAGGAUCAGAUCCCCUGCCUCAGUGCCAUUGCUCAUCAAGGGCUAGGACAAGAAGUACCAGGUACUCAAAGACAGCAGAGGUCUUGUCAUUUCUAAAUCAAUCUACACCUGCAUGCAAGUUCAGAAUUAAUCACUGUCCACAAGUAGUGUUUAGGGCUUUUCAAAACUGUUUACUCAAUACUAAGUUUACACCUCAGAGAAUUUUCAUAAAAUUUCAUAAAAUUGUUACCAACAUGAAGAUAUGGGACAUGAUGGGGGUUGUCCUUCUGUAUGUAUGUUUCUCUUAUUGGUUGAUGACUAAAACACUGAUUGGCCAGUAGCCAGACAGGAAGCAUAGGCAGGGCUACCAGACCAGAAGAAGGCUAGGGAGAGGAAGGCAGAUGGGAGCCACCAGAGAGACGCCAUGUAGACACAGAAGAGUAACAUGCCAGGGUAUUACUGGAUGGGCCCUGAGGAUGUCUGUUACUCCUGAGCCUUGCCAACAACUGGUGAUUUGAUAAUAUGUCUUCAGUUUUCAACUUGGACUAAUGGCAUGCCAGUACCCACUCUUUUAUAGCAUUUUCUAUAAAGAGGAAAACUCACCGAAAACCUUCAAGCACAUACUAAGGGUAUGGACAAACAUGAAACUGAUAUCAAAGCCUCCAGAACACUGCAGAAUAAAUGUCUACUGAAGCCACCCAAGCUAUAGCAGCCCAUCCCAACAGCACAGCUGAGAGAGCGCUGCAGACCAGCCACCCAGGUUUUCCUGGGCACAUGCCACUCUCUAAAUGCUUCUCUGGGGUUGUAGUUAAAGCAUCAAUAAAUCAGAUGAAGUUUGAUUUACAUGUGAUUUUUAUUCUCUUGGGGGACAUCUGCCACAGACCAUAAGUAAGCAAGCAAAUGAUCAAGCGAACACUAGCAAAGGAUGCUCUCUGAAGAGGGAACAUUUGAGACGAGCAGCAAGGAGAAGCAAGAAGACAGUCUACUGGAAAAACAACUCAAGCACUAGGAAGUAGGCUAUCAAUAUUGUGCCUAUGUGUUGGUGGAAGUUUCUGUUCUGCCUGGUCCCAACACCCUUCAGUCUCAAAUAAACACACAGAAGCUUCUAUUAAUUAUAAACUCUUUGGCCAGUGGCUCAGGCUUCUUAUUGGCUAGCUCUUUUGUAAUUAUAAACCCGCUUCUAUUAACCAGUGAAUCUCCAUGUGGACUUAGCAGUGAUGCCCAAGCCUCUUGCUUCUAAGGCAACUAUAUGGUGUCUGGCCCGCAACUCACUCUCUGCCUUUCUUUUCCCAGAAUUUUCCUAGUCUGAUAGGCCCACCUAUAUUUCCUGCCUGACUACUGGCCAAUCAGUGUUUUAUUAAACCAAUAAGAGAAACAUAUAUUCACAGCAUAGAGAAGGACAUCUCCCAUCACCUAGGCAAGAUGUGAGACAGCUACCUCGGAGUUAUGUCAGUAAAGAAUGAAGCAAGUACAAGAUAGAUUGAGUAUCAGCAUCUAGAUAUGGAUGUAAGGGCUGGAGAGCAAGACAACUCAGGGAGUCAGCUUCGAAUAACAAUGAGAUGAUGAUGGCUCCAGAAGGACCACCCUUCGUGCAAGGCUCCCCUUGUACUGCAUCCACUACCCAUGCAACAUCUGUGUGACAUCACUAAGUGAAGCCCAUCAGCAAUUUACUGUGUUCAUUUUUAAAAUUAACAUCUUACAUUAGUGUAAUUUUAUUACAAUUAAUGUGCCAGUGCUGACAGAGCAUUAAUACAAACUCACAUUUGAUUCAGCUUACUCAUGCGCCUUUCUUUAAGGAUUCCAUCCAGAAAGCCACACUGCCUGCAGUCAUAUUUCCUCAGUUUCUCAUGGCUGUAUGAGUUCAUAAAACUCACCUGUUUUGCUAACCUUUGCAGUUUUGAGGUUAUUGAAUCAGUGGGGUCAGGACUUUUGCAGUACAUCCUUUGAUUGGAAUUUCUAUGCUUUUGGAAUCAUAACUGGACUUCAGAUGUGGGAGUCUACCAUAUGACUCUCACCAUAUAUGCUAAUAGCAUAACCAAUCAUUCUUGUUAGAGGGUCCAAGGUCAUCUCAUUUAUCAAUUUCUCUUGUCCAUGGCAUUCUACAUCAAGUCUCACCUACUGUCUCCAGUUCCAUUCCUAUUCACAGUAUCCCCCUUCAGUGUCCUGUCCG
ensembl:lncRNA